UACGGAGGGUGCAAGCGUUGUUCGGAAUCACUGGGCGUAAAGCGCGUGUAGGCGGUCUGUUAAGUCUGAUGUGAAAGCCCGGGGCUCACCCCCGGAAGUGCAUUGGAAACUGCCAGACUGGAGUCCCGGAGAGGAGGGUGGAAUUCCUGGUGUAGCGGUGAAAUGCGUAGAUAUCAGGAGGAACACCGGUGGCGAAGGCGGCCCUCUGGACGGUGACUGACGCUGAGACGCGAAAGCGUGGGGAGCAAACAGG
rnacentral:rRNA from 1 species